CGAAUACCUUGUUGAUCUUGGACGUGUAAGAGUGACAGAAAAGCCGCAUGGACAGCUCGGAAAGUUACAACUUGACGUUAGAAAUUGAAAGCGGUUUGUUAGCGUCCAGUUGACACGACUCCAAGAUGCUGUCGGCAGAUAACGGGAUCGAACCAACAACUAUCGGAAGAUGAGUCAGUAUGUUAAACUGCUUCACCAUCAAGGUCGUAAACAAUAUUUUCAAGAUCAC
rnacentral:lncRNA from 1 species